rnacentral:rRNA from 1 species
CUCAGGACGAACGCUGGCGGCGUGCUUAACACAUGCAAGUCGAGCGGUAAGGCCCUUCGGGGUACACGAGCGGCGAACGGGUGAGUAACACGUGAGCAACCUGCCCCUGACUCUGGGAUAAGCGGUGGAAACGCCGUCUAAUACCGGAUACGACACACCGUCUCAUGGCGUGUGUGUGGAAAGUUUUAUCGGUCAGGGAUGGGCUCGCGGCCUAUCAGCUAGUUGGUGGGGUAAAGGCCUACCAAGGCGAUUACGGGUAGCCGGCCUGAGAGGGCGACCGGCCACACUGGGACUGAGACACGGCCCAGACUCCUGCGGGAGGCAGCAGUGGGGAAUAUUGCACAAUGGGCGAAAGCCUGAUGCAGCGACGCCGCGUGGGGGAUGACGGCCUUCGGGUUGUAAACCUCUUUUACCACCAACGCAGGCUCCACGUACUCGUGGGGUUGACGGUAGGUGGGGAAUAAGGACCGGCUAACUACGUGCCAGCAGCCGCGGUAAUACGUAGGGUCCGAGCGUUGUCCGGAAUUAUUGGGCGUAAAGAGCUCGUAGGCGGCGUGUCACGUCUGCUGUGAAAGACCGGGGCUUAACUCCGGUUCUGCAGUGGAUACGGGCAUGCUAGAGGUAGGUAGGGGAGACUGGAAUUCCUGGUGUAGCGGUGAAAUGCGCAGAUAUCAGGAGGAACACCGGUGGCGAAGGCGGGUCUCUGGGCCUUACCUGACGCUGAGGAGCGAAAGCAUGGGGAGCGAACAGGAUUAGAUACCCUGGUAGUCCAUGCCGUAAACGUUGGGCGCUAGGUGUGGGGACUUUCCACGGUUUCCGCGCCGUAGCUAACGCAUUAAGCGCCCCGCCUGGGGAGUACGGCCGCAAGGCUAAAACUCAAAGGAAUUGACGGGGGCCCGCACAAGCGGCGGAGCAUGUUGCUUAAUUCGACGCAACGCGAAGAACCUUACCAAGGUUUGACAUCACCCGUGGACCUGUAGAGAUACAGGGUCAUUUAGUUGGUGGGUGACAGGUGGUGCAUGGCUGUCGUCAGCUCGUGUCGUGAGAUGUUGGGUUAAGUCCCGCAACGAGCGCAACCCUUGUUCCAUGUUGCCAGCACGUAAUGGUGGGGACUCAUGGGAGACUGCCGGGGUCAACUCGGAGGAAGGUGGGGACGACGUCAAGUCAUCAUGCCCCUUAUGUCUU